UCAUCCCAGGUCUGUGGAUGCUGGGUCUUGGAGUGAUUUCCGGCCCCAGUGAACAGGUCCUGCUGAUGUCCGAUGUCGGGCCUGCCUGCUCCGUGUUCCUGCCCACCGCUACCUUCCAGAUGGGCCAGCUCCCAGCACCUGCUGCCUGCCAGGCACUGUGCUCAUGUUGGGGACCCAGAAAUAAAUGAGAGACAGCCGCUGUCCAGUGGAAGGAGAAACGUCAGGCGUUAACCGCCACCCAGGAGAGGGCUCCUGAGUCAAGGGCACAUCGAAUGAGGGUCAGAAUCACACAGAGAGGGGAGGGCCUAACUCAGCAACAAAAAAGAACGAACCAUUGAUACCGGCAACAUCAUGGAUGAAUCUCAAAAUCAUCAUGCAGAGCAAAGAAGCCAGACACAAAAGAGUACAGACUGUGUGAUUCCAUUCUUAUGGCGUUCUAGACCAGGCAAAACUGUGGGUUAUAUCCAGAUAGAAAUAAGACCAGUGGUUGCUUGGGAUGAGAGGGGCUGGCCUGGGGACGUGAGGUGCUGGAUGUUCUGAGGGACGUUCUGAGGAUGAGGAAUAUUCUGAGGUGGGAAAGAUGUUCUAAACCUGAGUAGGAGUGUGGGUUACACAAGAACAUUUGAUAGCUAAAACUGACCACACUGUACACCCAGGAUCUGCGAAUGUCAUCAUAUGCAAAUUAUAUCUGUGAUGGGCAGCACUCCAAAUAGUCCUCAGCAAGCCCUGGUGUGCUUCCCCUUGUGCAAUCACACACACACACACACACACACACACGCACACACACACACACACCCCGUGUCAGGUUGGUCUGUGUGGCCGAUAGGGUGUGCAGAAGGGAUAGUAUGUCACUGCUGAGAACAGGAUACUGGUCUCUUUCUCUCAGAUAGCUUGUUCUGGAAGAGGCCAUGCGUUGAGCAUCGCUAUGGAGAAAUAUGCUCGGCAAGGAACCGAAGCCUCCUGCCAACAGCUAUGUGCAUGAACUCACAGACAGAAAACUGAGACCCAGAACACGGAGGCAACUGCCAGGAUCAUAGAGCCACCAGGGUGUGGCAGCUUUCGAUUCAAAUCCAGAUCUAAUUCCCAAAGGAAGAGGCAGGCAAGCAGCACACCCAAGCCGGAGAAUACUUCUCUCAUCUCUUCCCUUUGAGAACAAGCCACACCUUCUGCCAUCAGGGAACAGGCCACAGUCUCCACCCAGACUCCCCGGGGUGAGGAUAGAAAGAGACUGGAGGGUGAUAUCCACGCCACCAAGAGUGUCAGAGGUCGUGGGAACUGAGGCCCAGAGAGGGAAGUGACUUUUCCAAAGACUCCCAUCUAGUGCUCAGUGGCUCCACACCACCCUGCCUCUCAAGGACAGCUUUGGGGUAGGGGAUGGAGAGAAAAAGGGAAGUCAAAGCUGGAGUUACACAUCUGUUGAUAUAUCUGCGAUUUGAUACCACUUGUCCCGAUUGAUGGCACAAGCACUUUCUGAGCAGCACUUCCAAAUGUAUGAAGAAGUGGAAAAUUGGGCCUCUGAAUGGUUUGCCUCAAAACAAGAAAAGUUCU